rnacentral:rRNA from 1 species
UACGUAGGGUGCAAGCGUUAAUCGGAAUUACUGGGCGUAAAGCGUGCGCAGGCGGCUUUGCAAGACAGAUGUGAAAUCCCCGGGCUUAACCUGGGAACUGCAUUUGAAACUACAAGGCUAGAGUGUAGCAGAGGGGGGUGGAAUUCCACGUGUAGCAGUGAAAUGCGUAGAGAUGUGGAGGAACACCGAUGGCGAAGGCAGCCCCCUGGGUUAACACUGACGCUCAGGCACGAAAGCGUGGGGAGCAAACAGG